GCCAGAGCGCAUGCUCCACGUGUAGCCCCACCCCGAUGCUGCCUCCAGGUGUUCCAGGGACCGUUCAACCGGUCAGCUGUGCGGACCAGGAAGCUAGGUGCUAGGGAACGUUGGAAAGAACUGGGACUAGGUACUGGGUUGUGCGGGUUGGGUACCGUUCUCGGCGGCCCUCUUGAGGUUCUCGAUCAUGGUGUCGUAAUGGAUGCGGCAAAGCACCUUCUCCUCAACCAGGCCGAAUUCCUCGCCCGUGGAUAGCUGGCGCUUGCAGGAAAAGCAAGCGAAGCAGGCCAGGUGCACACACUGUUCAGGAAGCAGAGCCAUCACUCGCCCAACCCUCCAGCUUGGAUAUCGGAACCUUCAGCUCACAUCCAGCGAUGCCUCCAGCUAAUGAAGUGAACCUCUGGGACGCACUACAUCCCCCCUCACCUCUACUGCUGCCCAGCUAGGUUUGAUGAUUCCCACCAUCACCCCUCUCAUCACCCCUUCUUUCCAGGAUUAGCCUGUCAGUGCAUCGUCCACACUGCAGCUGGCAGCAAAAAUUUCACCAUGCACACAGAGUCCUAUCCCCUGAGCUCCUUACAGUCUUUGGUGGUACCACACUAUCCUUAGAGUCUAGUCCAGGAUGCUUUGGGUUUACAAACCCAACAGACCAUAUCCUUCGCUCUCCCAGUCUUCAGUGUCUCCCACCCCAUGCUCUACACCUAGUAGAGGGUACCAAGCCAC